CCCCUGGGGUGGGUCUGGCCGCGGGGGAGGGAAGGUUCUGCUGUCAGUCUGUCCUUCGUUCUAUCUGCUCUCCCUGCGACUCGGAACCAGUUACGGAUCGAUACCGCCUGCCUUAAAGGAUGACCCCAAAGCGCCGUCAGGACCAGCUUUCGGUCUGUCGCGGAGACUAGACACACUCCAUUCCAGCUCCACGGGAGACGCGGCCUGAAGGGUGAAGGGCCCCUGGUCACCUGGGGUCAGAGGUCAGGCUCCCGGUGGGGUCAGCUGGGUGGGUCCCGGUGGACCUGGGUGGAGACUUGUCUCCAGAUGUUUCAGAGCCAGCGAUCUAUGCGCCAUUGAUGAGCUGCUAGAUCUCUCCGAGCUCAUUCCCGCAGAGGGGCCUUAGAAACAGGACAGUAACGGAGCAGCCUAUGGGCUCCGGAUGCGUCGUCAGUCAUCCUACCGAGGAGGCGAGUGCAUCACCCUCCAUGUAUUUCCCUCCUCGGUCCUCCCUGAAAUUCCAUUAUUGUCGAGGUGUUUAUCCGGGUACCUGGAGGCUAGCUGAGCCCCCGCCUCGCUGCCUCCCCAGCUCCUGACGAGUUCGCAGGGCUUUCUCUUGUUUCAUGGGAAUUUCAUGUGAUGCUCACAAAGGGACUGUUGCACAGAAACUGUAAUUAUAGGCAUCGUACAUAUAACUAUUAUACAGAUACAUAAAUACUAGAGGCC